rnacentral:misc_RNA from 1 species
CCGAGUUUACAACUCCCAAACCCCCAUGUGAACGUUACCAAACUGUUGCCCCUCGGCGGGUCAUUCAUGCCCCGGGCGCGUCGCAGCCCCGGACCAAGGCGCCCGCCGGAGGACCAACCAAAACUCUUCUGUAUGUCCCUCGCGGACUUUUAUAAUUCUGAGCCAUCUCGGCGCCCCUAGCGGGCGUUUCGAAAAUGAAUCA